CGUUUUUUUACCAUUGUAAUAAAAAACACGCCGGGAUACCUCAUU
rnacentral:tRNA from 1 species